GGAGUGGAAUAAUGCAAACAGUGCCUCUCUCUAGAUGGGAACUUUGCUUCAUGGGACAUUACACUAAAAGAAAAUGCAUUCUGCCAACAACUAAUGAGCUUGGAAGAGAACUCCAAACCCCAGAAGAGGCCUGUCACAUUGGCUAACACCUUGAUUUCCACCCACUGAGACCUUGAGCAGAGACUUCAGUUACACCCCACCCAGACUUCUGACCUGCAAAACUGUGAGCUAAUACAUGGAUGGUGUUUCAAGCUUCUGUUUGUAAAAUAUUGUUCCCCAGCAAUAGAAAAGUAAUACAUUUAUCUAAAAUCCUAUUGUUGAUAAAUGAGAGUCCAAGAUCUCCUAAGACUUAAAACAAGUCUUUUAUCUCCUGCUAGAGACAGAGAUAACAAACAGUGAUUUAAGAAUGCAUUUGAUCAAGCACCAAGGUAUAUAAUCAAGGUAUAGAUGCCCAUUGGGUGAGGAACACCCAAACUACUAUUCUUUAAUCAAUAAGAGAAGGUAAAAACUGAGAUUUAUAAUUGGUCAAACAUUAAUUCUGAAUAAAAGAAAACUAUUUCAGAGAAAGUGGAAUGUAUCUCCCACUAAAUUGCAUGGCUAGGAGUUAAAAAAAAAGGAAGCUACUCCUCCAACAUUUUAGCCUUUCAAAUCUGGUGGUACCAGCUAGAAACUAACAGGGGAUAUUUG
rnacentral:lncRNA from 10 species